rnacentral:misc_RNA from 1 species
GAAGGGAGGUAGAAGGAAUGGGUUUACCAUGGUUAUUUUUUUAAGGUGAUGUGGCAUGUUGAUCCCACUAUUUAUUAGUAAAAAAAUGCCAUUUGGCUUGUGACAUAAAAUUGAACACACUUUUCCCAAAUUGAUGUAAAAUUUGGAUAAAUUUUUAUGAAUUUUGAAAUUCUAGACAAUUGUGCCAAGAUUUUAACGCUUGGAUUAGAAUGCAAAACGUGAAAAACAUUUGGAUUAAUAUGGCAAUUUGGCCUUUCUGCUCUAUUUUCUGAGCCUUUAUUUUACCUUACCAGAAUGCUAAGACAGCCUCUGAAAAU